AGGGCGCAUGGUGAAUGCCUUGGCAUCAGGAGCCGAUGAAGGACGUGAUAAGCUGCGAUAAGCUUCGGGUAGGCGCACAUAGCCUGAGAUCCGAAGAUCUCCGAAUGAGGAAACUCACAUGGGAAACCCCAUGUAUCAUUAAGUGAAUACAUAGCUUAAUGAAGGUAACCCAGGGAACUGAAACAUCUAAGUACCUGGAGGAAGAGAAAGAAAAAUCGAUUUUCUUAGUAGCGGCGAGCGAAAGGGAAAGAGCCCAAACCGGAAACUUGUUUCCGGGGUUGUGGACAUAACAUAAAAGUGGAGGCUAUUGUAACUGAAGAGAACUGGAAAGUUCCACCGUAGAAGGUAAUAGUCCUGUAAGUGAAACGAGAAGACCACGAGUUAUGAUCCAGAGUACCACGAGACACGUGAAACCUUGUGGGAAGCAGGGAGGACCACCUCCCAAGGCUAAAUACUACCUGAUGACCGAUAGUGAAGCAGUACCGUGAGGGAAAGGUGAAAAGAACCCCGGGAGGGGAGUGAAAUAGAACCUGAAACCGUGUGCCUACAACCGCUCAGAGCCCCUUAUGAGGGUGAUGAGGUGCUUUUUGUAGAACGAGCCAACGAGUUACGGUAUGUAGCAAGGUUAAGUACUUAAGGUACGGAGCCGAAGGGAAACCGAGUCUGAAUAGGGCGACUAGUUGCAUGCCGUAGACCCGAAACCGGGUGACCUAUCCAUGGCCAGGUUGAAGCGAGGGUAAAACCUCGUGGAGGACCGAACCACGUUGCUGUUGAAAAAGCAUGGGAUGAGCUGUGGAUAGCGGAGAAAUUCCAAUCGAACCCGGAGAUAGCUGGUUCUCUCCGAAAUAGCUUUAGGGCUAGCGUCGAGUAUGAGUAGUGGAGGUAGAGCACUGAAUGGGCUAGGGGGCAUAGCGCUUACCGAACCUUAUCAAACUCCGAAUGCCACAUACUUUGAGCUCGGCAGUCAGACUACGAAUGAUAAGAUCCGUGGUCAAAAGGGAAACAGCCCAGAUCGUCAGCUAAGGUCCCAAAGUGUAAGUUAAGUGGGAAAGGAUGUGAGAUUUCUAAGACAACUAGGAUGUUGGCUUAGAAGCAGCCAUUCAUUAAAAGAGUGCGUAAUAGCUCACUAGUCGAGAGAUCUUGCGCCGAAAAUGUAACGGGGCUAAACUUACCACCGAAGCUACGGGCUUGAACUUAGUUCAAGCGGUAGGAGAGCGUCGUAACCGGGCUGAAGUCGUACCGUAAGGAGCGGUGGACUGGUUACGAGUGAGAAUGUUGGCAUCAGUAGCGAGAUGUGGGUGAGAAUCCCACAGGCCGAAAACCUAAGGUUUCCUCAGGAAGGUUCGUCCGCUGAGGGUUAGUCGGGACCUAAGCCGAGGCCGAAAGGCGUAGGUGAUGGACAACUGGUUGAUAUUCCAGUACCACUACCAUCGUUAUUAUCGAUGGCGUGACGCAGGAGGAUAGUGUGUGCUAGCUAUUGGAUGCUAGUCUAAGCGUUUAGGCAGUGAGAGUAGGCAAAUCCGCUCUCAUAAUGCUGAGGCGUGAUGGGGAAGGUUCCACGGAACCGAAGUACAUGAUUCCACGCUGCCAAGAAAAGCGUCUAGAGAGAGAAGUAGUGCCCGUACCGCAAACCGACACAGGUAGGUGAGGAGAGAAUCCUAAGGCCGGCGGAAGAAUUACAGUUAAGGAACUCGGCAAAUUGACCCCGUAAGUUCGCGAGAAGGGGUGCCUACGAGAGUAGGCCGCAGAGAAUAGGCCCAAGCAACUGUUUAGCAAAAACACAGGUCUCUGCUAAAGCGUAAGCUGAUGUAUAGGGGCUGACGCCUGCCCGGUGCUGGAAGGUUAAGGGGAACACUUAGCGCAAGCGAAGGUGUGAACUUAAGCCCCAGUAAACGGCGGCCGUAACUAUAACGGUCCUAAGGUAGCGAAAUUCCUUGUCAGGUAAGUUCUGACCCGCACGAAUGGCGUAAUGACUUGGGCACUGUCUCAACUGUAAAUCCGGCGAAGUUGUAGUGCGAGUGAAGAUGCUCGCUACCCGCGAUUGGACGGAAAGACCCCGUAGAGCUUUACUGUAGCUUAGCAUUGAGUUUUGGUAUUGUCUGUACAGGAUAGGUGGGAGACUAGGAAACCAGGGCGUCAGCCUUGGUGGAGUCAACCUUGGGAUACCACCCUGACAGUACUGAAAUUCUAACUGGCGGCCAUGAAUCUGGUCACAGGACAUUGUUAGGUGGGCAGUUUGACUGGGGCGGUCGCCUCCUAAAAAGUAACGGAGGCGCCCAAAGGUUCCCUCAGAACGGUCGGAAAUCGUUCGAAGAGUGCAAAGGCAGAAGGGAGCCUGACUGCGACACCCACAAGUGGAGCAGGGACGAAAGUCGGGCUUAGUGAUCCGGUGGUACCUCGUGGGAGGGCCAUCGCUCAACGGAUAAAAGCUACCUCGGGGAUAACAGGCUGAUCUCCCCCAAGAGUCCACAUCGACGGGGAGGUUUGGCACCUCGAUGUCGGCUCGUCGCAUCCUGGGGCUGUAGUCGGUCCCAAGGGUUGGGCUGUUCGCCCAUUAAAGCGGCACGCGAGCUGGGUUCAGAACGUCGUGAGACAGUUCGGUCCCUAUCCGUCGCGGGCGUAGGAAAUUUGAGAGGAGCUGUCCUUAGUACGAGAGGACCGGGAUGGACUGACCUCUGGUGUACCAGUUGUUCCGCCAGGAGCACAGCUGGGUAGCUAAGUCGGGAAUGGAUAAACGCUGAAAGCAUCUAAGCGUGAAGCCAACCUCAAGAUGAGAUUUCCCAUAGCGUAAGCUAGUAAGAUCCCUUGA
rnacentral:rRNA from 1 species